CCUGGGUACAGGGUAUUACACAGCGGGCUUGCUCGACUGUAGCGUUUUCUCUUGUUAAUUGAAUAUUCUCGCUGCAGAAAAUAAUUUCGUCACCAUUCAACAACCAAGGAUACAGAUCAUCUGGAAAACUGCACUGAUCCAUAUCGUGACCCAACGCAAAAUAUCGCUUUCUCAGUAGAUGCGCUACGGCUUUGGGCUGCCGCGCACGCGUAAAUACUCCUUUCUUGUUUCCGGCGACACGUGUAGUUGUACUCACACUGGGCCGUCUUGAAGUCAGCAAAGUUCC